rnacentral:rRNA from 1 species
AGCAGCCGCGGUAAUUCCAGCUCCAAUAGCGUAUAUUAAAGUUGUUGCAGUUAAAAAGCUCGUAGUUGAAUUUCGGGACUAACAGAUUGGUCGUGCCUCGGUACGUACUGGCAUUAUUGGUUUCUACCUUCUGAAGAACCUUGAUGUCAUUAAUUUGGUGUCUUGGGGAAUCAGGACUGUUACUUUGAAAAAAU